CAAUGUUAGAAUGCGUCACGGCACGAGGUUCGCUGUUCCCGGAAUUGGUUGCCGCCAUUACAAAGCUGUACGUCACAAACCAACCCGACGAUGAUCCAAGUCUACAAACUUUUUAACGUAGGAAAGAUGUAAAAAUGAUUGAUUCACAGAAAUGACGGUACAAGACAACAAAAGAUUCGAGUAGAAAGGAUAAAGAAAGAAAUGGUAGAUUGAAACGAGGCUUGGCCUGUCAAAAAUAUAACAAAACCGCUAAUUUUCUUUACCUGCUGCUCUAGACCUGAUCCAUUCUGGUUGGCUGCAUUACUCAUAUUACUCCGCCUCGGUGCGUAUUUUUCGUGGCUCUGCCGCAGAAGCUCUUUAGCUAUUUCUCACCUAGACAA